CAACAAAAACCCCAAUUUCAGAAAAACAACAGAAAACCCUAGUUUGCUUCUCUCGCACUACCAGAAAUUCGCAGCUGAAAGGAGGAGAUAACACCACACCACAAUGUCAAGCCUUCCUGAAGAGUUGUAGCUCAACAUUCGUCUGAGGCAGAGAAACUCUUCUUGGUAUGGGGAGUGGGUCAUUUUAUCCAUAUUUUUGCAGAAAGUACAAGUGAAUUCGAUCAUCCAGCGAAUAAACAACAAAAUGUGAG